CAGGCACCUGUUCAGGUUCCAUACCAAACACCAGUUCAGGUUCCAUACCAAACACCAGUUGGGGUUCCAUUCCAGACACCAGUUAAAAUUCUACCCCAGCCACCAGCUCAGCUCCCAUACCAAACACAGGUUCAGGUUCCACACCAGGAACCAGUUCAGGUUC